GACGAACGCUGGCGGCGUGCUUAACACAUGCAAGUCGAACGGAAAGGCCCUGCUUUUGUGGGGUGCUCGAGUGGCGAACGGGUGAGUAACACGUGAGUAACCUGCCCUUGACUUUGGGAUAACUUCAGGAAACUGGGGCUAAUACCGGAUAGGAGCUCCUGCUGCAUGGUGGGGGUUGGAAAGUUUUGGCGGUGCGGGGAUGACUCGCGGCUUAUCGGCUUGUUGGGGGGGUAGGUGCUUGACAAGGCUUUGACGGGUGGCCGGCAUGAGAGGGUGACCGGCCACAUUGGGACUGAGAUACGGCCCAGACUCCUACGGGAGGCAGCAGUGGGGAAUAUUGCACAAUGGGCGGAAGCCUGAUGUAGCAACGCCGCGUGCGGGAUGACGGCCUUCGGGUUGUAAACCGCUUUCGCCUGUGACGAAGCGUGAGUGACGGUAAUGGGUAAAGAAGCACCGGCUAACUACGUGCCAGCCGCCGCCGUAAAAC
rnacentral:rRNA from 1 species